UUUGAUCCUGGCUCAGAUUGAACGCUGGCGGCAGGCCUAACACAUGCAAGUCGAGCGGAAACAACAGCUAUUCCUUUUUUUAAAAGGAUAAUUGGUUGUCGAGCGGCGGACGGGUGAGUAAUGCCUAGGAAGUUGCCCAGUAGAGGGGGAUAACCAUUGGAAACGAUGGCUAAUACCGCAUAAACUCUUUGGAGAAAAGCAGGGGACCUUUUAUAGGCCUUGCGCUAUUGGAUACGCCUAGGUGGGAUUAGCUAGUUGGUAAGGUAAUGGCUUACCAAGGCGACGAUCCCUAGCUGGUCUGAGAGGAUGAACAGCCACACUGGAACUGAGACACGGUCCAGACUCCUACGGGAGGCAGCAGUGGGGAAUAUUGCACAAUGGGCGCAAGCCUGAUGCAGCCAUGCCGCGUGUGUGAAGAAGGCCUUAGGGUUGUAAAGCACUUUCAGCAGUGAGGAAGAUAUGCAUCUAAUACAUGUAUAUUUUGACGUUAACUGCACAAGAAGCACCGGCUAACUCCGUGCCAGCAGCCGCGGUAAUACGGAGGGUGCGAGCGUUAAUCGGAAUUACUGGGCGUAAAGCGCAUGUAGGUGGUUCGAUAAGUUAGAUGUGAAAGCCCGGGGCUUAACCUCGGAACUGCAUUUAAAACUGUCAGACUAGAGUACUAUAGAGGGGGGUGGAAUUUCAGGUGUAGCGGUGAAAUGCGUAGAGAUCUGAAGGAAUACCAGUGGCGAAGGCGACCCCCUGGAUAGAUACUGACACUCAGAUGCGAAAGCGUGGGGAGCAAACAGGAUUAGAUACCCUGGUAGUCCAUGCCGUAAACGAUGUCUACUUGGAGGUUGUGGCCUUGAGCUGUAGCUUUCGUAGUUAACGCGUUAAGUAGACCGCCUGGGGAGUACGGUCGCAAGAUUAAAACUCAAAUGAAUUGACGGGGGCCCGCACAAGCGGUGGAGCAUGUGGUUUAAUUCGAUGCAACGCGAAGAACCUUACCUACUUUUGACAUCCAAAGAAGCCAGAGAGAUACAGGUGUGCCUUCGGGAACUUUGAGACAGGUGCUGCAUGGCUGUCGUCAGCUCGUGUUGUGAAAUGUUGGGUUAAGUCCCGCAACGAGCGCAACCCUUGUCCUUGUUUGCCAGCGAGUAAUGUCGGGAACUUCAAGGAGACUGCCGGUGAGAAACCGGAGGAAGGUGGGGACGACGUCAAGUCAUCAUGGCCCUUACGAGUAGGGCUACACACGUGCUACAAUGGUGUAUACAAAGGGUUGCCAACCAGUAAUGGUAAGCUAAUCCCCUAAAGUACAUCGUAGUCCGGAUUGGAGUCUGCAACUCGACUCCAUGAAGUCGGAAUCGCUAGUAAUCGUAGAUCAGCGCGCUACGGUGAAUACGUUCCCGGGCCUUGUACACACCGCCCGUCACACCAUGGGAGUGGGUUGCAAAAGAAGUAGGUAGUUUAACUUUCGGGAGG
rnacentral:rRNA from 1 species